rnacentral:rRNA from 1 species
GACGAACUGUCCAAACGUUGUUCGGAAUCACUGGGCUUAAAGGGUGCGUAGGCGGCGCGGUAAGUCGGGUGUGAAAUCUCGGAGCUUAACUCCGAAACUGCAUUCGAUACUGCCGUGCUUGAGGACUGGAGAGGAGACUGGAAUUUACGGUGUAGCGGUGAAAUGCGUAGAUAUCGUAAGGAAGACCAGUGGCGAAGGCGGGUCUCUGGACAGUUCCUGACGCUGAGGCGCGAAGGCCAGGGGAGCAAACGGG